rnacentral:lncRNA from 1 species
UCUGUUCUGGAGGGACUUUUGUCAGCUGAACCAGGACCUUCAAGCCAGGCUGCUUCUCUGUUCUUUGAAUAGUCUGUCUUCUGGGGCCACAGGUCCAGCGGUGAGUGGGAGCCAAGAGGAACCCUGUGGGUGCUGGGCUGUGCUUGCUUCCCAGGCCCAGUUGGGGAAGCCGUUGGAGGUUCAACCACAGCCACGCCUGGCCUGUCCUCCUUUUGGUGGAAGCCAGACUCCUCCUCUGAAGCCAUGAGCCCCUCCUGCCCUGCCCUCCCAUCCACGGCAAAGCUGGGGCUGUGGUGGCUCCUUCUGAUCCCUGCAGGUGAGUGGGGGCUAUCUCUAGGGGACAUAGCUCUUUCCACCUUGGGAAGGUGGGGAGCACCCGCUGCAUCACCUUAACCUCCCCAAGCCUCAGCACCUGCUCCACAUCUGCAAAAUGCCAACAGCCCCGUGGCCCUCCCAGGGCUAUUGUGUGAGUGACCCAGAAUGAGAACUUAUGAGCAGUGCCUGGAAUGCCCUCUGCACAUGGCAGCUGCUGUUAUCGAUGUUCUGGAUUUUAAAGCAGUAGUUCUGACCUACUCAGGCAGCCAAACCCUGAAGAGGUGAAGCUGUCUGCAGAACAUGGUGAAAACAGAUGCAGAGGGUGCCGUCAAUCUGGGGACACUACUGCCUAGCUGAUGAGAGGGGGCAAAUGCCAGUGGUUUGAGGAAAAAUAGAGGAGAUGCUCCAAGUGGAAGAGGAUUUCUUGGCUCAUGUUAGUGGUUCAUUAUAAGCCGAUGGAAGUGAGAGUUCCCGGGGCUGGGUUCACAGAGACGUGUGAAGCUCUCCCUGUUGCAGUCAGCAUGACUCCACCCGGAGUCCCGCUCCCCACCCUGAUGUCCCCUGGGGGCUCCCCAGUUCCAGUCUGAUUCUCAUCCCUGGUCUGGCUUCUUCCCACUGCCCUCCACCCUCUCAGCACUUGUUUUCACCUCUUAGCCUUUGGUCAUGGAGUAAUGGACCUUUCUUGAGAUUCAACCAUGUGCUGGUUGCUUCGUAAGCUCUAAUGGACAUUAUUAUAUCUCAUCCUCAGCAGUGUUCUGAAAUCUGCUCUGGAUUAGUGUGCCCAUUUUGCA